rnacentral:rRNA from 1 species
AGCGAACGCUGGCGGCAGGCCUAACACAUGCAAGUCGAACGAACCUUUCGGGGUUAGUGGCGGACGGGUGAGUAACACGUGGGAACGUGCCUUUAGGUUCGGAAUAACUCAGGGAAACUUGUGCUAAUACCGAAUGUGCCCUUCGGGGGAAAGAUUUAUCGCCGUUAGAGCGGCCCGCGUCUGAUUAGCUAGUUGGUUGAGGUAAUGGCUCACCAAGGCGACAAUCAGUAGCUGGUCUGAGAGGAAGAUCAGACACAUUGGGACUGAGACACGGUCCAAAAUCCUACGGGAGGCAGCAAUGGGGAAUCUUGCGAAAUGGGCGAAAGCAUGACGCAGCCAUGCCGGGUGAAUGAUGAAGGUCUUAGGAUAGUAAAAUUCUUUAACCGGGGACGAUAAUGACGGUACCCGGAGAAGAAGCCCCGGCUAACUUCGUG